UAAACUGACUCAUCCUAAGAUGGUAGCUUUAUGGAGAUGGAAGCUGGAAAUUUUUUACCAUCAUCAAGACAGAUUUGAUUUGCCUCACUGAAUAACUGGAGUGAAAGAUGUAAAAAGUAAAAAAAGGUCUAAUUCUAGUGUGAUUGUGAAGUCAUGAUUCCCCCUCAGAGCCAUUCCCCACGGAUGAAGGUAAAGAGAAUCUACCCUUGUGGCCUGGCUUUAUGAUUUCUGGUCUUCACAGUGGACAAAGAUAAUGCACAAAUAUUGCUGAGACAUGGUGUAAAAUGUAUUCAGCAAAAUAAAACUGACCUCUUCUGUUGCAGCUUUUAUAUUCAUCACAUUCCCCAAAAAAACCAAAGAAAAGCUACUCUUCUGCUUUUAAUUUGAGUUUUCUUCAACACGAAUUUUAAGCUGUUUGAAAACUGUUUGAGUUCAUUGAAAAGCAUUCUACCAACUGAGACUAUGUAGAGAUACUAGAUUAUUAUCUUUUGAUGUACAAAUGAGAGAUACUAAUUUGUCUGUGUUUGUUGUUGUUUUCUUGGAUUUUGUUCUGGUAGGGUGAGCAAGGAGAUGUGGGAGAAACAGGUUACUCAGGAGAAACUGGUCUUCCAGGCCCACAGGGCCCAAGAGGACCACAAGGGAUCAGAGGACCUCCUGGACCACAAGGCAUGCCAGGCCCUCUGGGUAGUCUGGGGGCACCUGGUUCACCUGGCUCUGCUGGAAAAUUAGGUGUAAG
rnacentral:lncRNA from 1 species